UGGUGACAGCAGCCCUCUAGGUCGAAGCCAAAAGCCAAAGGGCUUUGGUUUUUUUUCCCCUGCACUGUGCUGUGGAGCUUGUCGGUGUGGGUGUUGUCCUUAAGCAGAAGUGUGUUCAAGAGCAAUCCUUGGCUGCUCAAUUGAGGUGAUGCCGAGCCUUCAGCUCAGAAAGUUUCUGAACAAAUUUCCUUUCUGUGACUGCCAGGAGCUGGGAUGACAUGAUAGGGAGGAAUCGCUUCUUGCCUCCUCCCUCUCCUCACCUGAGCACCCGCUACUGACCAUGCUUAGUGCAGACAAGUUGAUAACGUUCAUCAGUGACCUUAAUUCAAUUCUAAGUAUUCUGGGAUAAGAAUUUCAUCUUUGAAGAUGCCCAGCAGACUGCGGAUCUACUUCUGGUGGGAGCAAAACGCACUGACGGUGGAGGCAAUGGAUACUCAACCUGUUCCAACUAACUACCCUAAGCAGCAGGCUUGGUGACACUCAGAGAGGCACAGAGUUGUGCUUUACGAUAACUACAAAACUGAUGUGUACAUAGGAAUUUCCCCUCUAGCUUUGUAUUGUAGAUCACAUCCAAGUACUUUAUCACUAUAAGGAAUAUGCUAUUAUCCCAAAUGCGUUCUGUUUCUUCAUUAAAAGGAAAACCACGUUUUCAUGCA